rnacentral:rRNA from 1 species
GGACCCGCACAAGCAGUGGAGCAUGUGGUUUAAUUCGAAGAUACGCGCAGAACCUUACCAACACUUGACAUGUUCGUCGCGAGACUAAGAGAUUAGUCUUUUCAGUUUGGCUGGACGAAACACAGGUGCUGCAUGGCUGUCGUCAGCUCGUGUCGUGAGAUGUUGGGUUAAGUCCCGCAACGAGCGCAACCCCCUACUUUUAGUUGCCACCAUUUAGUUGGGCACUUUAAAAGAACUGCCAGUGAUAAGCUGGAGGAAGGUGGGGAUGACGUCAAGUCCUCAUGGCCCUUAUGUGUUGGGCUACACACGUGCUACAAUGGUACUUACAAUGGGAUGCAAAGAGGCGACUCUAAGCCAAUCCCUAAAAUGUGUCUCAGUUCGGAUUGUACUCUGUAACUCGAGUGCAUGAAGCUGGAAUUGCUAGUAAUCGC